GGCUCUUCAACAUAGAAAGAUUUCACAAGGAAAGGUUAGCAUUUUUCAAGAAUUCGAGUGUCCUCUCAGAAAUGCCUCCUGUUCUCCACCCCACCUCCUUGCUGGUAUCAGCCACAAGUGGCCAGUCUUCCAGAAGCUCUGCUCAGGGCCCCCAGGGCACCUGCCUGCCCACUCCUGCCUGCUACUUAAGCUCUUCUCCACCGCUGGAACUCACUCCAGGGGCAGGUGGAGGAGACCCGAAGGUCCCAGGUGACGGGAGCCAUAACCCAGGGUGCUCGAGAGGGGACCCCGCGGGCACCACAUGACACCAGUCCUUUGUACGUACUACCAAGAAAGCCAACGCGCUGCGAAUUAAACACAUGAAUUGUAAGAUGCCUCCUGAUUUCAGAGACAGUCCUGUGAGAGAAAAAUCUGGGUCGAAGCCACUUAAACGUGGUAGUAAAAACCAGAUGGUGUAAUAGAUAUGAUGAGCUUCUGAGUCCUCCAGCAAAGGAGUGCCCUCCUGCCUGCCCACUGUCUGCCUGUUUUCCUUCCUUAAUUCCUCCUUCCCUUCCUUCCCCACUGCUUGCUUUCUUUCUUUCUUUCUUUCUUUCCUUCUUUCUUCCUUCUUUCCUUCCCUCCUUUGUCUUUCUUCUUUCUUCCUUUCUUCCACAUUUCUUAAAAUUUCUUUAAAUUUUAAAAUUUCUUUUUAAAUUGAAUUGCAUACAUAAAAUGUACAUCUCGAUGACUCUUUCCUUAUGUGUACACCCAUGUAAUCACUGCCCAAAUCUCAAGACAGAACACUUCCACCACCCAAGAGUCUCCCCUAUGCCCCAUCCUGGUCAUACCUGCCCCCAGAGGGGACUACUCUUCUGACCUCUAUCCCCAUGGGUGAGUCUUGUCUCAUCUGCUUUUGAUCUCCAUGGAAGCAGAAUCGUACUGACUUCUUUUGUUCAACAUAAUGCUUGUGAGAUCCACUCGUGUCACUGCGUCUGUCAGCUCUCUCUCAUAUUUCUUUCUUCUAACUCAAAUGAAAUCCUGGGGCGCCUGGGUGGCGCAGUCGGUUAAGCGUCCGACUUCAGCCAGGUCACGAUCUCGCGGUCCGUGAGUUCGAGCCCCGCGUCGGUUUCUGGGCUGACGGCUCAGAGCCUGGAGCCUGUUUCCGAUUCUGUGUCUCCGUCUCUCUGUGCCCCUCCCCCGUUCAUGCUCUGUCUCUCUCCCAAAAAUAAAUAAACGUUGAAAAAAAAAAUUUAAAAAAAA
rnacentral:lncRNA from 1 species